GUGCCAGCCGCCGCGGUAAUACCGGCAGCCCGAGUGAUGGCCGAUCUUAUUGGGCCUAAAGCGUCCGUAGCUGGCCGCGCAAGUCCAUCGGGAAAUCCGCCCGCUCAACGGGCGGCCGUCCGGCGGAACCUGUGUGGCUUGGGACCGGGAGGCCUGAAGGGUACGAUCGGGGUAGGAGUGAAGUCCUGUAAUCCCGCUCGGACCGCCGAUGGGGAAACCACCUCAGGAGACCGGAUCCGACAGUGAGGGACGAAAGCCAGGGUCUCCAACCGGAUUAGAUACCCGAGUAGUCC
rnacentral:rRNA from 1 species